GUUUCACAUGAACAGAAAGAGCACUUGUCUGAGGAAAGUUCCUGAGGAAUGGCGCAGACCACGAGCACAAGCCUGUAUCCUCACCUGCCCCGAAGCUUCCUUUCCCUCAAAGCUCUGCACAGCUGCAAGGAGCAGCUGCCACAAAAGCCAGAGGGCUGUGUCAUGGUGCAUGCCCUUCGAGAAGGAACUAGAACACUCGAGACUCCCUGAACUUCUACUGCUGAGAUUCACGGAGCCCCAGCCCUGCUUGGUGCUGUGCUUGGUCCUGCCCCGCAGUUGCCAUGGAGACAGCAUGCUCCAGCCCAUGAAAGUUGUCUUACCAGCCAGCUCCUUGGAUCAAUUUGGUUCUAUCAGCUGCACUCAGAAUCCUUAAUGGGAACAGAGAGACCUGGGAACAGGCUGGGUAAGCUAUAAUAGAGGAAGUAAAGAGGAAAUGUGUCCCUCUGAUUCCUCAGGAUUAUUUGGCCUGGAUACAGAAAGGGAUAAUGUACAUGUCUGGUGCGUCCCCCUUGGCUCCACCUCUUAUAGCUACAGAAGCAAUGAAUUUAAGAACUGCACCUAACUGAUACGGUUACUUCACUAGCUUGAAGUAUAAGCUAUAGUCACCCCCUCUCUCACCUCCAUUAAUUGCUAGGGACUAGGUUAUUUUAACUGGGGACACUGUUAAACACCAGUCUUUCUCCACUGCCCUAUCCAGAGCCCCAGCAGCCUGAACACAUGACUCCAAAGUCCAAGUUCUUUUUGUUUGUUUGUUUGAGAAAUAGUCUUACUGUGUAGUUCAUCCUGGCCUUGAACUUAUUAUAUAGUCCAGGAUAUCCUCAAACUUGGUGGUGACUCUCCUGCCUCAGCCUCCUGAGCUGACUGGGACUAUAGGUAUGUGUUCCCCCGACCCAAACUCUUUUUCAUCCUCCUGAGCUCCCACAGUUUUCAUUAGCAGGAAGGUUCAGGGAUCCUCAUCCCCAGAGGUCAUCAGCUCAAGGCCUCCUUCCCACAUCAGUGAGAUCUCCUUGGAGACCCUUAGGUGAUCUCUCUCUCUCUCUCUUCCUCUCCCUCUGUCUCUUUCUCUUAAGUUAUCCUCCUGCCUCAGCCUCUUGAAUGCUGGGAUUAUUGACAUGCACCAUAACACCUGGUUGCUGGAGAUCUUACUUGAUGACCAGUUGGGAAGGAGCAUCUUUGGAAGAGGGUCUACUAACUUGCAGCUUCUCCAAGAAAGAGAUUAGGCUUUCCAUUCAUGACCUGGAAUUUCCUGUCCCCUGAAAAAGUGUUGCUUUCCUCCCAGGCUCUGUGUCCUAUUGGAUCUUACAGAGGUAGACUUUGCCAGUCAGAUAAGGCCCUCUUUUAAUCUCCUAGAACCUAUUUACAUUUGCUAAUCGAAAAUGACCACCAAAGCAGAGAACGUCUCCUCCAAGGUGACUUGCUAAGUCCUCCUCCAAGGACUGAGGACAAGAAGCUUUUUUCCCAUUACUCUUGGCUUCCUCCAAUUUAGUACUACAGAAAGGAUGUGACUUGAGUGGCCAUUAGUCAGAGACUUUUACAAUGUGUCAAGGAGUUCCUUAGAAAGGCCUCAGGGACCUCUGCCUUUCCCUGUGGGGCAGGGAAAGAGAGACCAAGAGAAAUUGUCCUCACACAUGAGCACCUCACACACAUACACACAC
ensembl:lincRNA